UAACAAGCGCCAUGUCGAGAAGCUGGUUUUCAGCGGGAACCAACACGAUGAAGAUUGCGGAUUGCGCACCCUCUUGACCGGGACCAUAUUGAGGCUACCAGUCAAGAAGGCGCGCAACAGGGGGCGUUAUGGACGGUGAUCACAAAAAAGAGAGAGAAAAAAAAACAAAACAAAAAAAGAAAACAAUAUUAACACAAAACUAAACAGAAUCAAAAACUAAAUUAACUAAAAACUAAUGUAUUAAGAAAUGCCACACCCGAGACACUAACAGGGGGACGCCACCGUCAAUACCGAAUCGCAUGUUCCGCUAUUCGCCACGUUAAAACUAUUUACUUGAACGACGGUGGCGCCCCCCCGCCGUUCCGCCCAUUUUACGACUGGUUUGCGAUUACAAAUUGCGCCUAGCAAAUCAAGUUCCAGUUCAAGUUGUAAUUAAAGUAAAAAUAUUAUAUUUUUACUUUAAUCACAACAAUAGACCGGGAAGGUUCACAGCUGUUCCAAAAGACAAAACAAAGUAAUGAAGAGAGGUAAGCUUUUAUGAAUGGUUGAACCUUUAGAAACAAACAACAAAAUAAUAUAACGGUAAAAACAAUAAAAUAACGAUACAAGAUACAUGUCUGUAGCAGUUUGCAGCCGAGUGCGGAGCGAACGGAAGGAAGAAAAAAAAAAAAAUAGUCAAUUGUCAUUUUAUUUUCCUUCCGCUCUCCGUUCACCCUCAACCAUAAUGUUAAAUUUUACACGUUUUGCCACGUUAGAAAAGGUGGUGGUGAUGUGGCGUAGUGGUAGUAGUCACCCCUACAACAAAGUUGGCCAUGAAUGCAGCAAGACCCUUGCAUAGUUGCGUGUAUCAUCGAGCUCACAUCUCGAGGGGCCGCUGCCACGACAAUACAAGGCGGCAUGCUGUGAGAGCAAUACUGACGAGCACGAUGUACAUGACGCGCAUAAACCCCUGGGCGCGCCCAGACGUCGGCCGAAGCGGGGAACAUGUUAAAGCGGCCCCAGUAUUCAAUCAGCGCUCAGUUCGUAUGCGAUGGGAUCGACCCGCCAACCCGAUGAGAGCGUCGAUGACAUUCAGAUUGCGCAAAGGGGGUGGCAGGUCGUUCCAGCACCGAGUAGCAGCGAAUCUGAAAGAGCCGCGAAACGCCAUGGAGCGGUGCCUUGGAGUGGCAAAAAUGUGUGUGCAAGCCCUUCUGGUGCGUCCUUCCCUAUUCCUAGCCCAGUCUAGCUUUUCAUAUAGGUACUUAGGCCUCUGCGUAGUAAUGAUACCAAACAUCAUUGUUGCGAGAUGUAGUCUCCUACGAGCCGCCAUUUUCAUCAUGUUUGCAGCGUUGAGAAAUGGGGUGACAUGUGCUCGGGGUGGCACCGUAAAGCAGAAACGGGCACAAGCAUUCUGCACCCUCUGCACCAGCUUGGCUGACCUAGCCAUGAGACAGGGCCCGUAUACAGUGUCACAAUAGUUGAGCCUACUGAGGACAAGGGACUCACACAGUGCUAUUCGCAGGCCCUCACUCAGGUAUGACCUUAGCUUGUACAGGACUUUGAGGCGGUAAAAGCAGCUUCUUGCGCAUUCGGUGACAUGGGUUUCAAAUCGCAACUGGUUUUCGAAAACAAGUCCCAGAUUUCUGACUCUGUCCACUCUUUCAAUCUGUAUAUUUAGAGACCGAUCCCCGAGUUUUCCGAUGUUCUGAGGGGUUCCCGUGAGUAUGAGCUGGGAUUUCUUAGGGUUAAGGCUGAGACCAUUUGAAAUGCACCAAGCAGAUAUUCUCUUUAGGUCAUCAUUUACGCUGAUCACAGCUCUAUCACACUUAUCAGGCUCGAAUGGAAGGUACAUCUGUAGAUCGUCCGCAUACAAGUGAUAGUAACAGUGUCUGAUGCCGUGUAUGAUGUCAGCACUGUAUAAGAUGUAUAGUAUUGGCCCUAGAAUGGAGCCCUGGGGGACCCCACAAGUCACCAGUUGUGGUUGUGAUCGCAGGGAAAUGCCAUCCCCCCGCUUCAGUUCCACAUACUGCUUUCUUCCAGACAAAUAACUAUGAAACCAAUUUACAGAGCUGUUGUCGAGACCAUAAUAGUGCAAUUUGGACAACAAGAGCGAGAUGUUGAUAGAAUCAAAGGCACGUGAAAAGUCGAGCAAUAAUACAAUUGUGACCAUGCCCCGAUCCUGAGCAGCCAGCAAGUUGUCGACUACAUCGGCGAGAGCAGUUGCCGUACCAUGCCCUUUACGGAAUCCGGACUGGUAGUGUGGAAGAAUGUCCCGUUCCUCAAGGAUCCAAAGAGUCAUGGCCUUGAUUGGCCGAACACUCUUGAGAGGUCGUCGAGUGAUCUCAGCGAGAAGGCUUGGGACCCAUCACUCCUGCGGACGAAUAUACGUCCACGUCUCGUCCAGGAGUACCUCCACUGCUGCCUGCGACACUCCUCACGCGCCCGAUAAAACAGCUGGCGAUUGAAGCGAGUCAGGCGCUCGCUGAUGUACACCCGGCCGCCACCCUCGCCCGUAGCGCCGCGACGCACGCGCGCGGCCCGCAGCAGGUCGUCGCGC